rnacentral:rRNA from 1 species
CUUAAGGCGGUUCAGUUGCUUAGACAGCCAGGAUGUUUGCUUGGAAGCAGCAAUUCAUUUAAAGAGUGCGUAACAGCUCACUGGUCGAGCGACAGAGCAUCGAUAAUAAUCGGGCAUCAAGUGUAGUACCGAAGCUCAGGAUUUAGCAGUAAUGCUAAGUGGUAGGGGAGCAUUCUAACAGCGGAGAAGCAGUAUGGUAAUGUAUUGUGGAGCGGUUAGAAAAGCAAAUGUAGGCAUAAGUAACGAUAAGGCAGGCGAGAAACCUGCCCACCGAUAGACUAAGGGUUCCGCGGCAAUGUUAAUCAACCGCGGGUAAGUCGGGACCUAAGCGGUAGCCGAGAGGCGAACGUGAUGGCCAAUGGGUUAAUAUUCCCAUACUACCGUAUUGAGCGAUGAGGUGACGGAGGAGUGACAAUUCCGCGAACUGACGAAAUAGUUCGUUAAAGGGCGUAGGUAUAGGACUGGUAGGAAAAUCCGCCGGUUUUGCUGAAACCUGAUAGUAUCUGGAGGCUUCGGCCGAAGGAAUAGUGAAUGUAAGCAGACUUCCAAGAAAACCCUCUAAGCAUAUUGAUAUGGUACCCGUACCGGAAACCGACACAGGUAGUCAAGGAGAAUAUCCUGAGGUGCUCGAGUGAUCCAUGGCUAAGGAACUAGGCAAAUUAACCCUGUAACUUCGGGAAAAGGGGUGCCUCGCUGUAGCAAUACAGCAGGUCGCAGAGAAAUGGCCCAGGCGACUGUUUAACAAAAACACAUGGCUAUGCGAAAUCGAAAGAUUAUGUAUAUGGCCUGACACCUGCCCGGUGCUGGAAGGUUAAGGGGGGAUGUUAGCCGCAAGGCGACGCAUUGAACUGAAGCCCCAGUAAACGGCGGCCGUAACUAUAACGGUCCUAAGGUAGCGAAAUUCCUUGUCGGGUAAGUUCCGACCUGCACGAAUGGUGUAACGAUCUGGGCACUGUCUCAGCCAUGAGCUCGGUGAAAUUGUAGUCACGGUGAAGAUGCCGUGUACCCGUCACGGGACGGAAAGACCCCAUGCACCUUUACUAUAGCUUCGCAUUGACAUUGGGUAGAUGAUGUGUAGGAUAGGUGGGAGGCUUUGAUCCUGUGCCGCUAGGUAUAGGGGAGCCAACGGUGAAAUACCACCCUUUAUUUAUCUGAUGUCUAAUCCGCCAAAAGUGGAGACAGUGCGUGGUGGGUAGUUUGACUGGGGUGGUCGCCUCCGAAAGUGUAUCGGAGGCUUUCAAAGGUAUGUUCAGUACGCUUGGUAACCGUACGUGGAGUGCAAUAGCAUAAACAUGCUUGACUGUGAGAUCGACGGAUCGAGCAGGAUCGAA